rnacentral:rRNA from 1 species
GACGAACGCUGGCGGCGUGCUUAACACAUGCAAGUCGAACGGAAAGGCCCUGCUUUUGUGGGGUGCUCGAGUGGCGAACGGGUGAGUAACACGUGAGUAACCUGCCCUUGACUUUGGGAUAACUUCAGGAAACUGGGGCUAAUACCGGAUAGGAGCUCCUGCUGCAUGGUGGGGGUUGGAAAGUUUCGGCGGUUGGGGAUGGACUCGCGGCUUAUCAGCUUGUUGGUGGGGUAGUGGCUUACCAAGGCUUUGACGGGUAGCCGGCCUGAGAGGGUGACCGGCCACCUUGGGACUUGGAUACCGCCCAGACUCCUACGGGAGGCAGCAGUGGGGAAUAUUGCACAAUGGGCGGAAGCCUGAUGCAGCAACGCCGCGUGCGGGAUGACGGCCUUCGGGUUGUAAACCGCUUUCGCCUGUGACGAAGCGUGAGUGACGGUAAUGGGUAAAGAAGCACCGGCUAACUACGUG